UACGAAGGGGGCUAGCGUUGCUCGGAAUCACUGGGCGUAAAGCGCAUGUAGGCGGCUUUCUAAGUCAGGGGUGAAAUCCUGGAGCUCAACUCCAGAACUGCCUUUGAUACUGGAGAGCUUGAGUCCGGAAGAGGUGAGUGGAACUCCGAGUGUAGAGGUGAAAUUCGUAGAUAUUCGGAAGAACACCAGUGGCGAAGGCGGCUCACUGGUCCGGUACUGACGCUGAGGUGCGAAAGCGUGGGGAGCAAACAGG
rnacentral:rRNA from 1 species